rnacentral:rRNA from 1 species
GAUGAACGCUGACGGAAUGCUUAACACAUGCAAGUCAACUGUGGCGGACGGGUGAGUAACGCGUAAAGAACUUUCCUCACAGCUAGGGACAACAUUUGGAAACGAAUGCUAAUACCUGAUACUGUGAGAGAGCUUUGCGUCCCAUUAGCUCGUUGGAGAGGUAACGGCUCACCAAGGCGAUGAUGGGUAGCCGGCCUGAGAGGGUGAUCGGCCACAAGGGGACUGAGAAAAGGCCCUUACUCCUACGGGAGGCAGCAGUGGGGAAUAUUGAACAAUGGACCAAAGUCUGAUCAAGCAAUUCUGUGUGCACGAUGAAGUUUUCGGAAUGUAAAGUGCUGUCAGUUGGGAAGCGGUACCAACAGAAGAAGUGACGGCUAACUACGUGCCAGCCGCCGCGGUAAUAC